GUGGGGAAUAUUGCGCAAUGGAGGAAACUCUGAUGCAGCGACGCCGCGUGAGUGAAGAAGUAUUUCGGUAUGUAAAGCUCUAUCAGCAGGGAAGAUAAUGACAGUACCUGACUAAGAAGCCCCGGCUAACUACGUGCCAGCAGCCGCGGUAAUACGUAGGGGGCAAGCGUUAUCCGGAUUUACUGGGUGUAAAGGGAGCGUAGACGGAAUGGCAAGUCUGAAGUGAAAUCCUGCGGCUUAACUGCAGAAUUGCUUUGGAAACUGUCAAUCUAGAGUGUUGGAGAGGUAAGCGGAAUUCCUGGUGUAGCGGUGAAAUGCGUAGAUAUCAGGAAGAACACCGGAGGCGAAGGCGGCUUACUGGACAAUAACUGACGUUGAGGCUCGAAAGCGUGGGAAGCAAACAGGAUUAGAAACCCCGGUAGUCC
rnacentral:rRNA from 1 species